GACGUAGGGCGCGAGCGUUGUCCGGAUUUAUUGGGCGUAAAGAGCUCGUAGGCGGCUUGUUGCGUCAGCUGUGAAAACCCGCAGCUCAACUGUGGGCUUGCAGCUGAUACGGGCAGGCUUGAGUUCGGUAGGGGAGACUGGAAUUCCCGGUGUAGCGGUGAAAUGCGCAGAUAUCAGGAGGAACACCGGUGGCGAAGGCGGGUCUCUGGGCCGAUACUGACGCUGAGGAGCGAAAGCGUGGGGAGCGAACAGG
rnacentral:rRNA from 1 species